rnacentral:rRNA from 1 species
GUGCCAGCAGCCGCGGUAAUACGGAGGGUGCAAGCGUUAUCCGGAUUCACUGGGUUUAAAGGGUGCGUAGGCGGGCUUGUAAGUCAGUGGUGAAAGCCCGGGGCUUAACUCCGGAAUUGCCGUUGAUACUGCAAGCCUUGAGUACAGGUGAGGUGGGCGGAAUACAUCAUGUAGUGGUGAAAUACUUAGAUAUGAUGUAGAACACCGAUUGCGAAGGCAGCUCGCUAAACUGUAACUGACGCUGAGGCACGAAAGCGUGGGGAUCAAACAGGAUUAGAUACCCUGGUAGUCCACGCCCUAAACGAUGUUCACUCGACAUUAGCGAUAUACUGUUAGUGUCCAAGCAAAAGCGUUAAGUGAACCACCUGGGGAGUACGACCGCAAGGUUGAAACUCAAAUGAAUUGGCGGGG